UACGUAGGGUGCGAGCGUUGCCCGGAUUUAUUGGGCGUAAAGAGCUCGUAGGCGGUGUGUCGCGUCGGCCGUGAAAACCUGGGGCUCAACUCUGGGCGUGCGGUCGAUACGGGCAUCACUUGAGUUCGGCAGGGGAGACUGGAAUUCCUGGUGUAGCGGUGAAAUGCGCAGAUAUCAGGAGGAACGCCGGUGGCGAAGGCGGGUCUCUGGGCCGAUACUGACGCUGAGGAGCGAAAGCAUGGGUAGCGAACAGG
rnacentral:rRNA from 1 species